rnacentral:rRNA from 1 species
GAUGAACGCUGGCGGCGUGCCUAAUACAUGCAAGUCGAGCGAACAGAUGAGGAGCUUGCUCCUCUGACGUUAGCGGCGGACGGGUGAGUAACACGUGGAUAACCUCCCUAUAAGACUGGGAUAACUUCGGGAAACCGGAGCUAAUACCGGAUAAUAUAUUGAACCGCAUGGUUCAAUAGUGAAAGACGGUUUUGCUGUCACUUAUAGCUGGAUCCGCGCCGCAUUAGCUAGUUGGUAAGGUAACGGCUUACCAAGGCGACGAUGCGUAGCCGACCUGAGAGGGUGAUCGGCCACACUGGAACUGAGACACGGUCCAGACGCCUACGGGAGGCAGCAGUAGGGAAUCUUCCGCAAUGGGCGAAAGCCUGACGGAGCAACGCCGCGUGAGUGAUGAAGGUCUUCGGAUCGUAAAACUCUGUUAUUAGGGAAGAACAAAUGUGUAAGUAACUAUGCACGUCUUGACGGUACCUAAUCAGAAAGCCACGGCUAACUACGUG